GACGAACGCUGGCGGCGUGCCUAAUACAUGCAAGUCGAGCGCUGAAGGUUGGUACUUGUACCGACUGGAUGAGCAGCGAACGGGUGAGUAACGCGUGGGGAAUCUGCCUUUGAGCGGGGGACAACAUUUGGAAACGAAUGCUAAUACCGCAUAAAAACUUUAAACACAAGUUUUAAGUUUGAAAGAUGCAAUUGCAUCACUCAAAGAUGAUCCCGCGUUGUAUUAGCUAGUUGGUGAGGUAAAGGCUCACCAAGGCGAUGAUACAUAGCCGACCUGAGAGGGUGAACAGCCAAAUUGGGACUGAGACAAGGCCCAAACUCCUUCAGGAGGCAGCAGGAGGGAAUCUUCGGCAAUGGGCGGAAGGCUGACCGAAGAACGCCGCGGGGGUGGAGAAGGGUCUCGGGUCGUAAAACUCUGUUGGUAGGGAAGAACGUAGGUGGGAAUGGAAAACUCAUCAAGUGACGGUAACUACCCAGAAAGGGACGGCUAACUACGUG
rnacentral:rRNA from 1 species